CCCGGGCCUUGUACACACCGCCCGUCACACCAUGGGAGUGGGUUUUACCAGAAGCCGAUGGGCCAACCGUAAGGAGGCCGUCGACCACGGUAGGAUUCAUGACUGGGGUG
rnacentral:rRNA from 1 species